rnacentral:rRNA from 1 species
CCUACGGGUGGCAGCAGUGAGGAAUAUUGGUCAAUGGUCGGGAGCCUGAACCAGCCAAGCCGCGUGAGGGAGGAAGGUACAGUGGAUCGUAAACCUCUUUUGUCAGGGAACAAAGGCGGGGACGUGUCCCCGGCUGCGUGUACCUGAAGCAAAAGCAUCGGCUAACUCCGUGCCAGCAGCCGCGGUAAUACGGAGGAUGCGAUCGUUAUCCGGAUGUAUUGGGUUAAAGGGGUGGGCCGGCGGUCUGUUAAGUCGGCGGUCAAAGUCCGGGGUUCAACCCCGGCCCGCCGUUGAAACUGGCAGUCUCGAGUUGGAGAGAAGUAUGCGGAAUGCGCGGUGUAGCGGUGAAAUGCAUAGAUAUCGCGCAGAACUCCGAUUGCGAAGGCAGCAUGCCGGCUCCACACUGACGCUGAGGCACGAAAGCGUGGGUAUCGAACAGGAUUAGAUACCCUAGUAGUC